AGAGAGAGAGAGAGAGAGAGAGAGAGAGAGAGAGAAUUAUUCAUAGUGCUGAUUUAUUUUACACACAAACUAUUGAAAAAUUGUCAUAUUGUUAAAAUGUGUAAUGUUUUGCCGAUUUACUGGCUUUGUUUUUUUUUUUUAUUAUUAUUUAGUUAUUUUUUUUUAAAGUAAACUUCCCACCAAAACAUUUGUAUUAAAACUAGAUUUGAAUAUUCUAUUGACGUUGUUUACAGAAUAACAUUUAAAAUGGUGCAUCGGGGCUUAUAAUAUCAUUUAUCAUUUAUAUAUCAUUUAUUUUUAUUUAUUUUUUAAUUUUUUUAAAUGGUCAGAACUGUAUUUGAUUUCUGUGGACCGUAAAUAAAAGUAAUAAAUAUUGAAAAAUCAUAUUUAAAAAAAAAAAAAAAAAAAAAAAAAGGGAUUUUUACCAAUAAUUUUUUUAAACAUAUUUAUUAAAUACAUAAUAGAAAUGUAAAAUAGGUAUCAGAUAAACAUCUCAAAAAAGGAAACGCGGAUUAUUUCAAGCUGAUAAAACUACAGUACACUCGUGUCGUUGUAGUCUAUGAAUUGUGGGCGUGGCCUUGUUUGUUUUUUUAUGGUGAUUAAGAAACAAUAGGGGCUAUAUACAGCUAUCUAAUUAUACACAAAUGGCAUAACGCACUAAUCGGUGUGAAGAGCUUUCUUCUCUCCCCUGUACGAGCGGUUUUAUUAACUGCACCUGCUGCGUCUCGACACAUUUAAUGACAUUAAAAGGUAAGAUGAAAGUUGUUCGUUUUUUUUUUUUUUUUAAGUUUUUCGUCCAUUUUUGCGGCAAAAAUAAACAGGAACCGACUGCAGGUAGGAAUUAAAGCGGGGAACUGAAGAAACGUCGCGCCACGGGAUUGGUCCAAGGAGUGUCGUAUCUAAUUUGCAUAAUAUGAAGAAAAUCUGAAUCCAAGAUGUCGCUGAACGUACGCGUCACGCACUUGCGUCGAGAAUUAAUAACUCGCCCGUUGCUUUGUUGUUUGCUAGCUUAACAGCUUAAGCUCAAGUUUAGUUAGUUGAACUUAAGCUAACACGGUACUGGUUCCGUGAUGUCAUCACACGUCUAAGCGAAAUGGUCACAAACGUUCGUUCCCACUACACGAGCAGAAUUUGCGACGUUUUGGCGGCUAACACCCGACACCGCCCCUUCCGUCAUGGAUGAUUCAUCGCACAGUCCGUUGGCUUUGUCGUCUGACGCAUCGACUCAUUCUCAUGGAUUCACCCUCAGGGUCAUGUUCAAACACAUUAGCCGUUUUCCCCGUCCUCCCAAAACCUCCAUCAGAUCCGAGUGCAGAAGGAGGCGAGGUUAUUAGUCGGGGAAAACGGAGCACCACGGGGCCGAGCCGGCGCCGGGACAAGCGACGGGAUCAUUGGAUUCGGUCACGGAAUCGUGGAUAAAACUCAUCUAUCUGACUCUGGGAGGCGGGAAUGAGGUGUCUUUAGAGGAACGGGACGCUCAGGAGGGAUGUAAUGCAAACGGGUAAUGAGGCAAAGCGCUAACGGCUACGCUGCAGGAACAGGAAGUUCUUGGGAAACUUCCAGACCAGGUCCAGGCUUGCGCUGGUGUCAAACCGAUUCCUCGUCCAUCACCAUGGAGACAACUAACGAGUUUUGGUUCAGGAGGUGCAUUUCAUCAUAUGGCUCUGCAUCAGAUGAGACCAGGAUACGACUUUCUGGUUGCCUCUGCCAGAAGGUUCCAGCUGUAGAUGCAGAUAACGAGCAUCUAAAUCGGCAGUGAAUCAGCGUUUUUGGGACGUCUACGCGCACAGAUAUCCCAUUACGGACGGGAUUAAAACAUCGCGGCUGGAGGAGGAGAAGUCUGAGAUCAUCUGCAAGCAUCUCCAACCUCGUUAGAAAGCACAGAGAUGACCCUUCCUGGAAUUCUCAUCACGGGUGGGGCGCCAAUAAUUUUGCAACCAGGAAGAAAGUGGCGCUACUUAGGAAAUUCAAGUACUAAAUAAAACUGAUUCAUUGUCUCCAUGUGUCGAGACGCAAAUCGAUCACCCCGAGCUGAACGCAUUAAUCGUUUAAUAAAUAUCGCAGGAGUUUUAGAUUUGAUUUUCGUUCAACCUUAAAUUAUUUAGCUAUUUAUUUAUUUAUUUAUUUAUUUAUAUAAAGCUUCAUAAAAAGAGACGGUCUCCAUCGUUCCACGUCCUCACGCCGUGUUUCAUCAUCUCUUGGCUCGCUCACUUGGGCGGCCAGCGUGAUAAAAACAUGCCGGUGUACAGGAGGGGUUUGUGGGUGGGCACCGCCCCCCUCCCCCAGUUGAAUUUCAUUGGCUCCUGAUGACAUCAUGACGAGUCGGCGAGCUCUCAGUGCAACUUCACCAAGUGCGCUUUGUCCUGAGACGCCUGCAGUGACACACGUUUACUCAAAAUCCCAGUUAGAAAAUGCCAAAUAUACACAAAUAUACAGUGGAGUGCAGAAGUUUG
ensembl:lncRNA